rnacentral:siRNA from 1 species
ACCACCACAACCACCGCUGCCGGA